rnacentral:rRNA from 1 species
UACGGAGGGGGCGAGCGUUAUUCGGAAUUAUUGGGCGUAAAGGGCGCGUAGGCGGCCCGGUAAGUCAAAGGUGAAAUCCCUCGGCUCAACUGAGGAACUGCCUUUGAAACUGUCGGGCUUGAGGCCGGGAGGGGGUAGCGGAAUUCCCAGUGUAGCGGUGAAAUGCGUAGAUAUUGGGAGGAACACCGGUGGCGAAGGCGGCUACCUGGACCGGUUCUGACGCUGAUGCGCGAAAGCCAGGGGAGCGAACGGG